UUCUGCCCUAUGAUUAUUUAAAUGGCUGCAGUAUAUUGACUGUGCAAAGGUAGCAUAAUAAUUAGUCAUUUAAUUGUUGACUGGAAUGAAUGAAUACAUGAGAUAUAUAUUAUAUUAAUUUUAUAUUUUUAAUUUUAUUUUUAGGUAAAAAAGCUUAAUUUUAUAUUAGGGACGAUAAGACCCUAUAGAACUUUAUUAAUUUUUGUAAUUUUUGUAAUUUUGUUACUUUAUUUAUUUUUUUAUUAACAUUUUUUUUAUUGGGGUGGUAAGUAAAUUUAACUUUACUUUUUUUUUUCAUUUAUUUAUGUUUAUUAUGAUCCAUUAAUUUAGAUUUUAAGAACAAGUUACCUUAGGGAUAACAGCGUAAUUUUAGUGGGGAGUUCCUAUUUAUACUAAAGUUUGCGACCUCGAUGUUGAAUUAAGAUAAGUUUGGGGGGUAG
rnacentral:rRNA from 1 species